UUAGCUUAGUGGCAUAAGCGCGUACCUGACAAGUAUGAGGUCAUGAGUUCAAUCCCCAGUA
rnacentral:tRNA from 1 species